GAUGAACGCUGGCGGCGUGCCUAACAUAUGCAAGUCGAACGGAGUCCAGCCUUUAAGACCUUCGGGUCAAAGAGGGGAAGACUGAGUGGCGGACGGGUGAGUAACACGUGGGCAACCUGGCUCAUAGAGGGGGAUAACAGAGAGAAAUUUCUGCUAAUACCGCAUAAGCACACACUGCCGCAUGGCAGAGGGUGAAAAGAGAAUCGCUAUGAGAUGGACCCGCGUCUGAUUAGCCAGUUGGCAGGGUAAGAGCCUACCAAAGCGACGAUCAGUAGCCGAUCUGAGAGGAUGAACGGCCACAUUGGGACUGAGACACGGCCCAAACUCCUACGGGAGGCAGCAGUGGGGGAUAUUGCACAAUGGGGGGAACCCUGAUGCAGCGACGCCGCGUGAGUGAAGAAGUAUUUCGGUAUGUAAAGCUCUAUUAGCAGGGAAGAUAAUGACAGUACCUGAAUAAGAAGCCCGGGCUAGCUACGUG
rnacentral:rRNA from 1 species